AACGCGAAGAACCUUACCCAGGCUCGAAAUGCAGGGGACGACACCAGAAAUGGUGUUUUCCGCAAGGACCGCUGCAUAGGUGCUGCAUGGCUGUCGUCAGCUCGUGCCGUGAGGUGUUGGGUUAAGUCCCGCAACGAGCGCAACCCUUAUCAUUAGUUGCCAACAUUUAAGGUGGGGACUCUAAUGAGACUGCCUAGGUUAACUAGGAGGAAGGUGAGGAUGACGUCAAGUCCGCAUGGCCUUUAUGUCUGGGGCUACACACGUGCUACAAUGGUCGGUACAGAAGGGUGCAAGAUCGCAAGAUGGAGCAAAUCCGUAAAGCCGAUCUCAGUUCGGAUUGUAGUCUGCAACUCGACUACAUGAAGUUGGAAUUGCUAGUAAUGACGUGUCAGCAACAGCGUCGUGAAUACGUUCCCGGGCCUUGUA
rnacentral:rRNA from 1 species